rnacentral:rRNA from 1 species
UACGUAGGGACCAAGCGUUGUUCGGAUUUACUGGGCGUAAAGGGCGCGUAGGCGGCAAUUCAAGCCAUCUGUGAAAUCUCCGGGCUUAACUCGGAACGGUCAGAUGAUACUGCUUUGCUCGAGUGCGGAAGGGGCAAUCGGAAUUCUUGGUGUAGCGGUGAAAUGCGUAGAUAUCAAGAGGAACACCUGAGGUGAAGACGGGUUGCUGGGCCGACACUGACGCUGAAGCGCGAAAGCCAGGGGAGCAAACGGG